UACGUAGGGUGCGAGCGUUAAUCGGAAUUACUGGGCGUAAAGGGUGCGCAGGCGGUUAUAUAAGACAGAUGUGAAAUCCCCGGGCUCAACCUGGGAACUGCGUUUGUGACUGUAUGACUAGAGUACGGUAGAGAGGGGUGGAAUUCCUGGUGUAGCGGUGGAAUGCGCAGAUAUCAGGAAGAACACCCGUGGCGAAGGCGGCUCUCUGGGACGGUACUGACGCUGAGACGCGAAAGCGUGGGGAGCGAACAGG
rnacentral:rRNA from 1 species